CUUUGUCUUUUGUUACACAGAGUGAACAGAUCUUUGGUUUUGCCUUUGCUGACUGCUGAUCUGAUCGUCUCAAGUCUGGUGACCUGCUGCAGAAGAUCCUCUCUCUCUAUCAUUAUAAGCAAUUCUGUCUAUCCUAUCACUCUCCCGACUCUAUCUAAUUUGACAGCCAUUCCAUCUUGUAUCCCUCUAUCCUCUACUGCUCUAUCUAAUUUGACAGCCAUUCCAUCUUGUAUCCCUCUAUCCUCUACUGCUCUAUCUAAUUUGACAGCCAUUCUAUCUUGUAUCCCUCUAUCCUCUACUGCUCUAU